CCUCUCCUCUUCCCCUUAAAGCGGCAACCAAUCCUUCCAGGAGCGAGAGGUGGCCCCACGCUAGGUCCAGGACUUUGGGCGGGGAGGAAGCUGGGUUGGCGGCGUCCGUGCGGGGGCGUCGGAGCGGGAGGGCCAGAGACCAAAUCAAGGGCCCGGAGGUAACUGUGAGUCCAGGGCUCUGGUGGGAGUUGGGUGAUCGCCUAGUCCCUUUGAUUGGACUGUGUCCGCUCUCCUGGAAACUUGAGACAGACCCCCACCGUGAUACAGGAAAGAGAAGCCCAGCCAGGGCUGGAGAGGUUGAAGAAGGAGCGAGAAGCUGAGAAGUGGGAGUCUGGCCAUCUGGGAGGGACUGGGAAUACUUUCCACCCUGAGCAACGCUUCCUGGCAACGUCUGCCCACAGAGGGCUUGCCUGGUGUCCUCCCUUCCUCAGCCAUAGAGUCCUUUCCAAGGCUCACUACAUGUAAAGCAGCUGGCAUCUCCUUACAAGGACUCCUAGGCGACGUUACGACCCCUAAGUACAGAAGAGCAAAUAGGAUUCAGAGAACUUAUGUGAAUGCCUCAAGUUGGCACAGCUCUACAGUGGAACAACCAGGUCCCAACCUGGGGCAGGACAUUUCCAGGUUAUCCACACUAACUUCUCCAUUUUGGAAAGCCAGUGCACGAUGACCCAAGAUCUUGCAUCUCUGUGGCAGGUCUCUGGGACCUAUCACAGAACUGUAGUAUUAAAAUCUAAAGAUUGAGAAUUAGGGCAUGUGUCAGAUUUCCCUAAAAGCUAUGAGAGUACUGUCACAGCAAUGCUGUGGUUUGACUCUCAAAUGUCCCCCCCCUCCCCCAAAAACUAUGUGCUGAGGGCUUGUCAGCAAGCUGUGAGCUUUUAAGGGGUGAUUGGAUCUCAUGGGUUAGUCUGAUGGUGUAUUCACCACUGAAUGAGAUUCUGAGAGGUGGCGGAUACUGUUGAACAAAGGAUCCCGUUGGAGGAACUAGGUGUCAGAGGCAUGAGUUUGUGACCAUUCUUGUACCACCACUCUCCUCUCUCCAUCUCUUGCCUGCCAGGAGGUGGACAACUUUCUUUGACACCUGCUUCCAGCAUGGUAUUCUGCCUCUCUAGGACCCAGGAACCUGGAACCAAAUGAUGAUGGACUGAAACCUUUGAAACUAUGAGCAAAAGGAAAUCUUUUUUCCUUUAAGCUGUUUUUCUUAAAUAUGUUGCCACAGUGACCGAAAGCUGGUUAACAAGCAAGAUUUUUUUUUGUUGUUGGUACUAGAUAACUUUUUUUUUAUUAGUUCAAAUAAGAAACAAGCUUGCUUCACAUGUCAAUCCCUUUUCCCUCUCCCUCCCCUCCCCAACCUUGCCACUUCAUCCUAUCUCUGCUCCCCAGGGAGGGUAAGGUCCUCCAUGGCUGUUCCCCAACAUCUGUCAUAUCAUCCUGGGCAGGGCCUAGGCCCUCCCACAUGUGUCCAGGCUGAGAGAGCAUCCCUCCAUGUGGGAUGGGCUCUCAAAGUCCCUUCUUACACCAGGGAAGAAUACUG